CAAGGGUUUCAAGGUGUUACAAUCCCCUCACCUUAUAAAACUUUGGUCCCCCAAAUUUGAAUAAGUUUCUUAAAAUAAUUCAAAAAAUCAUUUUCGCAUUUCUUCUUCCACUUUUCAUGUUGCCUCCUCUGGAGUGUAGUGCUGCCAUAACACCUUGACCAUAAAAAUCCUCUUGUUGCAUAGAACAUUCUUCAUGCGAUUGAUGAUUUCUACAGGAUACUCCUUAUAAGCAAUAUU
rnacentral:lncRNA from 1 species